rnacentral:rRNA from 1 species
AACGCGAAGAACCUUACCAGGCCUUGACAUGCAGAGAACUUUCCAGAGAUGGAUUGGUGCCUUCGGGAACUCUGACACAGGUGCUGCAUGGCUGUCGUCGGCUCGUGUCGUGAGAUGUUGGGUUAAGUCCCGUAACGAGCGCAACCCUUGUCCUUAGUUACCAGCACGUUAAGGUGGGCACUCUAAGGAGACUGCCGGUGACAAACCGGAGGAAGGUGGGGAUGACGUCAAGUCAUCAUGGCCCUUACGGCCUGGGCUACACACGUGCUACAAUGGUCGGUACAGAGGGUUGCCAAGCCGCGAGGUGGAGCUAAUCUCACAAAACCGAUGUAGUCCGGACCGCAGUCUGCAACUCGACUGCGUGAAGUCGGAAUCGCUAGUAAUCGCAAAUCAGAAGGC